AGCUUUUCCUUCCAUCACUUCCUCUGCACUUCCCCUCUAGAUCUGGAAACCCGAUUGAGAAAAUAAUCUGCGAUAAUGGCGCCUCAUUACUUGAAAGAACCUGGAAGCGAGCAUCCAGAGUUCAGCAAGCUACACUCUCGCAGAUCCAAACCGGAAGAACCUUUUCCAGAGAAGAUAAUGAGAUAGGUGGUGCACGAAUGAGAUUGAGGCCUUACGAGCAACUCAAGUGCUGAAGGAAAAGCUUUAGAUGAGAUGUUAACUAAGGUUUCAUGCAAGUAAAAGGAACCAAAGAAAGUGACAGUGGUUGUGUUUGGGAACUGAUCAAAAUGCAUAAUCUAGAAAUGAAGAAAGUAGCUGACGAGAAGAAGGAUGCUUUGGCUGCACAGUUUGUAGCUGAAGCAGCCCUCAGGAGGCUACACACAAACAACAAGGAGGAGGAUCUUCUACCAAUUGAUUCGAUCAUCGAUCCUCUUGAAGCUGACAUCAAAAUUUACAAGAAUGAGAUUGCAACUUUGCUAGAGGAUAAGAAAGCUAUGGAACGUCAUACAAAGUCAAAAGAAGCAGUUGUCCUUGAGACAAGGAAAAUCUUGAGGAGUUGAGGAUAUAUAAAACCAAAACCUCGAGUUAAGGAGACAGAUCGAAAUCUACCUGGAAGAGAACAAAAUACUCGAAAAGACCAACCAUCAGAAAGUCAUAGAGGUUGAAAAGCUUAGCCAGGCGAUUCAGGAACUUGAGGAGGUCGUUUUGGCUGGUGGGGGCUACUGCUAAUGUUGUUAUAGAAACGCAAAAUCUCUGAGCUCAAUGAGGAGAAGAUAAUUCGUGAGGGGGAGCUUGCACGAGCUAAGGUGUCAGCAAACAGAGUGGCAACUGUAGUUGGCUAAUGAAUGGAAAGACGGGGUUGAUAAGAGAUGAAGCGUUUAAAGGACAAACUAGCAGUGACUGAAAAAACUGCAAAGGCAGAAUCAUAGAUGAAGAUAAAAUGGUCUAUGACAGGAGAGAAACAAACCAAGAUUCUACGAUUUAAUAUAAUUUCUCA